UACAGAGGGUGCGAGCGUUAAUCGGAAUUACUGGGCGUAAAGCGCGCGUAGGCGGCUUUGCAAGUCGGGUGUGAAAUCCCCGAGCUUAACUUGGGAAUUGCGCUCGAAACUACGUGGCUGGAGUGUGGCAGAGGAAGGUGGAAUUCCACGUGUAGCGGUGAAAUGCGUAGAGAUGUGGAGGAACACCGAUGGCGAAGGCAGCCUUCUGGGCCAACACUGACGCUCAUGCACGAAAGCGUGGGGAGCAAACAGG
rnacentral:rRNA from 1 species